rnacentral:rRNA from 1 species
GACGAACGCUGGCGGCGUGCUUAACACAUGCAAGUCGAACGAAGAGCGAUGGAAGCUUGCUUCUAUCAAUCUUAGUGGCGAACGGGUGAGUAACGCGUAAUCAACCUGCCCUUCAGAGGGGGACAACAGUUGGAAACGACUGCUAAUACCGCAUACGAUCCAAUCUCGGCAUCGAGACUGGAUGAAAGGUGGCCUCUAUUUAUAAGCUAUCACUGAAGGAGGGGAUUGCGUCUGAUUAGCUAGUUGGAGGGGUAACGGCCCACCAAGGCGAUGAUCAGUAGCCGGUCUGAGAGGAUGAACGGCCACAUUGGGACUGAGACGCGGCCCAGACUCCUACGGGAGGCAGCAGUGGGGAAUCUUCCGCAAUGGACGAAAGUCUGACGGAGCAACGCCGCGUGAGUGAUGACGGCCUUCGGGUUGUAAAGCUCUGUUAAUCGGGACGAAGGUUCUUGUGCAAAUAGUGCAAG